GCCCGCCUGGCGGAACAGGUAGACGCAGCGCACUCAAAAUGCGCCGCCCCCGGGAGGGGCGUGCGGGUUCGACUCCCGCGGCGGGCA
rnacentral:tRNA from 1 species